rnacentral:tRNA from 7 species
CGCAGCGUAGCUCAAAGGAUAGAGCGCCGACGCUAGAACCACUCGCGGAGAGUGGGUGUACGACGGUUGGGUGGUGCCUCCAUCGUACCGCGUCGGAGAUCCGGGUUCAAUUCCCGGCGCUGCUC